rnacentral:lncRNA from 1 species
AUGCCUUUCCUUUUUCCUGCAGGGCUGGCUGCCAUGCUGCAGGAGGAUGGACCACACAAGUCCAUGUUGAUUUUCCAGCUCUCUGAGGCUGGGGAUGUCUUCUGCCAGAGGCUGACCCACAAGGCGGCACAGGCCCCUGCAUCCCCAUCGAGGGAUGAGGCCACAACAGCCCCUGGCUCUUCUCCUCUCUUCGAGGCUCCAGCCAGCAGCCCACAUGGCUUGGGCAGUGAGGGAGAAGAGGAGGAAGAGCAAACAUUCUACUUGCCCAACCUGGAGGUUAUUAUCGAUGAGGAGGAGGAGGACAUGGGCACACCAGCACCCCUGGAGGAAGCUGAGCUACUGCAGGAGCCAUGUGCCAGCCCUCAGCCCUCCCCAGCGGUGCCCAGCCCAGCUGCAGCCCUGCGAUACCGCCGCUGGCUGAGGGCCCUUUUCAGGGCCUGGAGGGAGCCUGCCCGGCACACCUGGCCCCCCAGCCUCAGCCAGAGGCGACUCUUCACCCGCAGAGACCUGCAAGGGCCAGCAGGCCCCAGCAGCCUGCAGAGACAGAUGCGCCAGCGGCUGCGCCAGACUAUGCAGGAAGGGGGCCGCAUUCAGUGCUGGGAGCCUUUGGCCCUCCAGCCCCCUCCCCUGCCACAGACCCGGGAGCUGGCAGGGGUUCCAGACCCCCUAAGUACCCGUCUGACAGCAGCUUGGGCUGGGGACUGGGAGCAGUGGUGGGAGGAGAGGACAAGUUUCAGUGUGGCGCAGAGACAGCAGGCACUGCGGGAGCAGCGGCGGCGGCAGAAGCGAGCCCGGGGCCGCCGCAGCCUUUCGGCCAGCUUCACCUCCUCCCUCACUUAUCAGUCUGAGCUGUCUGAGCUGAGUGAUGUGGGCCCCUCACAGCUCUCCCAGGGCCACCCACCCAUUCUCUCCCAGGAGGGCUCACCACCAGCAGGCAGCCCCCCAGUUCACAGACCCCCGCCCUCACCAGCACCCGACGAAGCCCUGCUGUCUUCACAGAGCUUUCGCUGCCGCGGCAUCCCCAAGGAGCGUCGGAAAACACUGCGGGACUACUUAUCCGUGUGGGCCGAGGGGCCCUGCGAGCCCCCAGAGCCCCCUGGCAGCCAGGCCAGCCAGCUGUGCAUCCCUUCUUCACAGAGCCAGCUGUCCUCCGCCUCGCAGCCCCGCCGCAAGCGCCCACGAAUGGGCUUCUGA